AACACAGCAAGUCGAACGCGCACGGAGCAAUCCGUGUGAGUGGCGGACGGGUGAUUAACACGUGGGUACCUACCCCAAGGUGAGGAAUACCGGCGAGAAAUCGCCGACAAUACCGCAUACGUUUCCAAAGAAACAAAGCUCGCAACAGCGCCAUGGGAAGGGCCUGCGGCCGAUUAGCUGGUUGGUGAGGUAACAGCUCACCAAGGCGACGAUCGGUAGCUGGUCUGAGAGGAUGAUCAGCCACACUGGGAUUGAGAACGGCCCAAACUCCUACGGGGGGCAGCAGUGAGGAAUUUUCGUCAAUGGGGGCAACCCUGAACGAGCAACGCCGCGCGCAUGAAGAAGGUUUUCGGAUCGUAAACUGCUUUUCUCUGGGACGAGAACGGACGGUACCAGAGGAAUCAGCCCCGGCUAACUACGUGCCAGCAGCCGCGGUAAUACGUAGGGGGCAAGC
rnacentral:rRNA from 1 species